UGGGGAAUAUUGCACAAUGGGCGCAAGCCUGAUGCAGCCAUGCCGCGUGUGUGAAGAAGGCCUUCGGGUUGUAAAGCACUUUCAGCGGGGAGGAAGGCGUUAAGGUUAAUAACCUUGGCGAUUGACGUUACCCGCAGAAGAAGCACCGGCUAACUCCGUUCCAGCAGCCGCGGUAAUACGGAGGGUGCAAGCGUUAAUCGGAAUUACUGGGCGUAAAGCGCACGCAGGCGGUCUGUCAAGUCGGAUGUGAAAUCCCCGGGCUCAACCUGGGAACUGCAUUCGAAACUGGCAGGCUAGAGUCUUGUAGAGGGGGGUAGAAUUCCAGGUGUAGCGGUGAAAUGCGUAGAGAUCUGGAGGAAUACCGGUGGCGAAGGCGGCCCCCUGGACAAAGACUGACGCUCAGGUGCGAAAGCGUGGGGAGCAAACAGG
rnacentral:rRNA from 1 species